rnacentral:rRNA from 1 species
UACGUAGGGGGCAAGCGUUGUCCGGAAUCAUUGGGCGUAAAGAGCGCGUAGGCGGUCCGGUAAGUCGGCUGUGAAAACUCGAGGCUCAACCUCGAGACGCCGGUGGAAACCGUUUGGCUAGAGUCCGGAAGAGGAGAGUGGAAUUCCUGGUGUAGCGGUGAAAUGCGCAGAUAUCAGGAAGAACACCCGUGGCUAAGGCGGCUCUCUAGUACGGUACUGACGCUGAGACGCGAAAGCGUGGGGAGCGAACAGG